UCUGGAGGUGCUGCUGUGUUUGGAGCAUUUAAACCCAGAGGCAGGGGCGACGCAGAAAAAAAAAAGGCAUCAGAGUUGUCGGGGAGCAGCAGGCUUACUCUCGAGAUUCUCCCUGCUGACCUGAUGAAGUAAGCAGCCUUGUCGGGAAAGCCUACAUGGCAAGGAACUGCAAAUGGCCUCUAGGAACUGUGAGUGGCCUUUAGGAGCUGAAGUUGGCCUCCAAUCAGCAAGAAGCCAGGGCACUUAGUCCUACUGCAGCAAGGAAAUACAUUCUGCCAACCAUCUGAAUGAGCUUGGAAGUGGAUUCUUCCCAAGCCAAGCCUCCAUAUAAGAAUGCAGCCCACCUGACACAUUCAUAACAGCUGAGCAGAGGACCCAAUUAAACCGUGCCUGGACUCUUCAUCCACAGAAACUUCGAGAUAAUCAAUGCAUGUUGCGUUAAGCCAUGACGUUUGUGAUAAUUCGUUAUGCAGCAAUAAAUGACUAACACACUCCUUUA